rnacentral:snRNA from 1 species
AUUGCUUCUCUUCCUUUUGGUUAAGACCAAGUGUAGUAUCUGUUCUUAUCAGUUUUAAUAUCUGAUACACCCCCUUGUGGGGAAGUCAUGGCCUAAUGGUUAGAGAGUCUGACUUGCAAUCCAA